AAGUCCUUUAAGAGUAGUCCAGAGAGGCUAAGAAGGAAUUAAGUUAACCAAUACUAGGGUAUGUUGUACCUUGAAGUGGGUUAAUUAAUUUAAGUAGACAAAUUCCCUCUUAUUCUUUCACGGAUAAGAGUUUUUUUAU
rfam:Vagococcus fluvialis bH819 genome assembly, contig: Scaffold4